GCCGGAAUAGCUCAGCUGGGAGAGCAGUAGACUGAAGCUCUUGACAGUGCGUAUUCUAAAGGUCGGGUGUUCGAGCCACCCUUCUGGCA